GAACGCACCUUGCGCUCUCUGGUAUUCCGGAGAGCAUGUCUGUUUGAGUGUCAUGAACUCUUCAACCCACCGGUUCCUUGUUGGACCGGAUUGGUGUUUGGAUUUUGAGUGUUGCUAUUUAGUUAGCUCAUUCGUAAUACAUUAGCAUCUCAAUUUCGUAAUCGGAUUGACUCAGCGUAAUAGACUAUUCGCUGAGGACACCAUUUUGGUGGCCGAGACAUGAAAGAGUGGAAGCUUCAAACCCCUCCUAGUCAUUUUUAGAUUAGACCUCAGAUCAGGCAGGAUUACCCGCUGAACUUAAG
rnacentral:misc_RNA from 1 species